UUUCCCCCCCCCUCCUAUUAAGCGUUUCGAGGAGGCGUUCGGGUGGUCCUGUUUCUCCCACUGCCCCCAGCGCGUGACCCGGCGUUGCUGCCUGGACUGUGGGGCCACUGUACCCCGCGGGCUGGGCUCCGGCGCAGUGACACGUGUGUUCCUGCGAGCCUGGGUGGCCCCAGUGUGGCUGGGCACCUGCUUGAGAGGGAAACAUCCCUAAACCCACGAGCUGGGGAGGCUGGGGGAAGGGGGGACUUUCAGUGCCACCAAGACCGCGGCCCCCACUUCACUGCCAGAUCUGGAGCAUUCACAUCUCUCGCUGGCACGCCGAAAGCGGGGGGUGAGUCAGGCAGAUUCUCUGCGAGUGGCACACAGACAAUUAUUUGCAAUGGAUUUGGAAAGGGGAAGCAGAGGUUAAACUGGGAUUUCUCUUGGCCAGCGACAGUGGAACUCUUCCUCAGGUACUGGGCAGCAUGUGCGUCUUGGCAAGAAGAGGAUGGAGGAUGAAGCUGUCCUGGACAGAGGGGCUUCCUUCCUUAAGCAUGUGUGUGAUGAAGAAGAAGUAGAAGGUGAGCUUGCUGGGUCCGGGGAAGUGUACGUUCCUAUCCACGUGUCUUGGUACGCAGUCGCACUCAUCAUACAUUUCAUAGAUCUUAGCAUUUUGAAGUUAAAAGCCAGAGCUUUCCGGUGGUGCUUCAUUAAUCUCCACAUUUUGUCUGCGCACAGAAAGUAAUUCUAAGAACUUCUCUGGGUCAGAAAAGUCAGCGUCUGAAUCAGUGUGGUCCUGCCUGAUGAACGACCGCAACAGAAAGGGUCUUACUUGGAAGCAGGUGCCUGUGUUAGGGGUGCCUCUCUGUGAAAAAUAACUGUUUUGCCAGAUAAUAUUAACCACCUUCCACUGACUAAUUUGAGGAAGCUCUUAGAUUUAUAUAAAUGUAUUUGGCAGUAUCUUCUAGUAUGCUCUCGCAUAGCCUGCAGGGUAGAGAAACAGAUGUUAGAGAGAGAAUGAUACCAUUGCUGCAGGAUAUAGAGUGGUAAUUAUGGAUGCGUCUCAGUUCGGAAAAGAUGGACAAGCA
rnacentral:lncRNA from 1 species